rnacentral:rRNA from 1 species
CAGUAGCCGCGGGAAUACGUAGGGCGCAAGCGUUGUCCGGAAUUAUUGGGCGUAAAGAGCUCGUAGGCGGUCUGUCGCGUCUGGUGUGAAAUCCCGAGGCUCAACCUCGGGCUUGCAUCGGGUACGGGCAGACUAGAGUGCGGUAGGGGAGACUGGAAUUCCUGGUGUAGCGGUGGAAUGCGCAGAUAUCAGGAGGAACACCGAUGGCGAAGGCAGGUCUCUGGGCCGCAACUGACGCUGAGGAGCGAAAGCAUGGGGAGCGAACAGGAUUAGAGACCCGCGUAGUCCCUGUCUCUUAUAC